rnacentral:rRNA from 1 species
UACGGAGGGUGCAAGCGUUAUCCGGAUUCACUGGGUUUAAAGGGUGCGUAGGCGGGCAGGUAAGUCAGUGGUGAAAUCUCCGAGCUUAACUCGGAAACUGCCGUUGAUACUAUUUGUCUUGAAUAUUGUGGAGGUAAGCGGAAUAUGUCAUGUAGCGGUGAAAUGCUUAGAUAUGACAUAGAACACCAAUUGCGAAGGCAGCUUACUACACAAUUAUUGACGCUGAGGCACGAAAGCGUGGGGAGCAAACGGG